rnacentral:rRNA from 1 species
UACGAAGGGGGCUAGCGUUGUUCGGAAUCACUGGGCGUAAAGGGCGCGUAGGCGGCUUUAUAAGUCGGGGGUGAAAGCCUGUGGCUCAACCACAGAACUGCCUUCGAUACUGUAGAGCUUGAGACCGGAAGAGGUAAGUGGAACUGCGAGUGUAGAGGUGAAAUUCGUAGAUAUUCGCAAGAACACCAGUGGCGAAGGCGGCUUACUGGUCCGGUUCUGACGCUGAGGCGCGAAAGCGUGGGGAGCAAACGGG